GGGGGAGAAGGUUAUAGUGGUAGAGCGUGUGCUUAACAUGCACGAGGUCCUGGGUUCAAUCCCCAGCACCCCCC
rnacentral:tRNA from 1 species